CUGAUAAUAACCCAGUAAAGUUGAUUCUCUCAUUACCUCCUAUUUUGCAGAUGAGAAAACUGAGGAAGGCAGAGGCUAGUGACUUACUCAAGGUCACACAACUAGGUGAUAUGGUCUUGUUUAUAUCUCAUGACAUCUCAUUGACAAAAGAGAGCUAAAGACAACUGAUCAAGUCUUAGAAACUGGAACUGUUCCUGCUUCUCCCCUCCCUCCAUGGUAAAUUAGUUAAUUUGAAGCCAUCCCUUGGUAUCAUCCAGAGGAUGGGAUUCACUGA
rnacentral:lncRNA from 1 species